rnacentral:rRNA from 2 species
UAGAAUUGACGGGACCGCACAAGCGGUGGAUGAUGUGGAUUAAUUCGAUGCAACGCGAAAACCUUACCUACCCUUGACAUGUCUGGAAGGCCGAAGAGAUUUGGCUGUGCUCGCAAGAGAACCGGAACACAGGUGCUGCAUGGCUGUCGUCAGCUCGUGUCGUGAGAUGUUGGGUUAAAUCCCGCAACGAGCGCAACCCUUGUCAUUAGUUGCUACGAAAGGGCACUCUAAUGAGACUGCCGGUGACAAACCGGAGGAAGGUGGGGAUGACGUCAAGUCCUCAUGGCCCUUAUGGGUAGGGCUUCACACGUCAUACAAUGGUCGGGACAGAGGGUCGCCAACCCGCGAGGGGGAGCCAAUCCCAGAAACCCGAUCGUAGUCCGGAUUGCAGGCUGCAACUCGCCUGCAUGAAGUCGGAAUCGCUAGUAAUCGCGGAUCAGCAUGUCGCGGUGAAUACGUUCCCGGGUCUU